GACGAACGCUGGCGGCGCGCUUAACACAUGCAAGUCGAGCGAAGCGGCGGACGGGUGAGUAACACGUGAGUAACCUGCCUUAGACAUUGGGAUAGCCUCGGGCAACCGGGAUUAAUACCAAAUGGUCUAAGAUGGACUGGCGUCCCAUUAGCAAGUUGGUGAGGUAACGGCCCACCAAGGGGACGAGGGGCAGCCGGCCUGGGAGGGUGAACGGCCACUUUGGAACGGAGAAACAGUCCAAACUCUACGGGAGGCAGCAGUGGGGAAUAUUGCACCAUGGAGGGAACUCAGAUGCAGCGACGCCGCGAGAACGAAGAAGGCUUUCGAGUCGUAAAGUUCUUUUAUAUGGGAAGCGGUACCAUAAGAAAAAGCCCCGGCUAACUACGUGCCAGCAGCCGCGGUAAUUC
rnacentral:rRNA from 1 species